rnacentral:rRNA from 1 species
UACGUAGGGUGCAAGCGUUAAUCGGAAUUACUGGGCGUAAAGCGCGCGUAGGCGGCUUUGCAAGUCGGGUGUGAAAUCCCCAGGCUUAACCUGGGAACUGCAUUCGAGACUGCAUUGCUAGAGUAUGGGAGAGGGAAGUGGAAUUUCCGGUGUAGCGGUGAAAUGCGUAGAUAUCGGAAGGAACAUCAGUGGCGAAAGCGACUUCCUGGACCACAACUGACGCUGAGGCGCGAAAGCUAGGGGAGCAAACAGG